ACAAUGCAUGCACGGAGACAAAAAUGUUUUUGCGCACUUAUCUAACUGUAGAGGAGACCAUGAAUAAUUAAUUUCAUAAAAUGGUGGCAUGUUCCUUUAAGACUCAUGUCAAGCUCCAUGUUUACCUUUCAGAUACUUACAUUGAGGCACGUCAAAUCCUGAAGAAGGCUCUGACAUGUAGCACCUCGGACCUCCAAACUGAGGAUGAACAGGAACGGCCUGGGAGAAGGAGAACAACAGCGAAACAUUUCUUUGGUGACACCGAUACAGAGGAGGACUACCGACCCCCAAAGAUUUCCAAAUUCGGGUCAUCUGCUGGGACAAGUCACCAACUCCCUGCAAAUAGUCCAGAGCUCUGUCAAAUGUUUGGCAGAACUGCCCCUCCCCAACCACUACCACCACAAACACUCCUCUCUCAACCUGCACAUUGCAACCAGCAACAACGGGGGCCAGAGGAGCCAAGCCAGGUCUACAGACCUACCUGGAGAGGUGGGAGACAUGGCCCAGAAACCAUUCCCUGCUCUGCUGCUCAGGUCCACAUUUUAAGCCUGCUGGAGCACAUUAAGCAGCAGCAGGACCAGCUGGUGGCCAAGGUCAAUCACCUGAGCAGCAGGGUGCUCAACACCUCAACACCUCAAGAGCCAGAGUGUCCUGAAUGCAUUCAGCUGCCCAUCGAAUCACUGGGAGCGGUGGAUGAGCUUGAAGCAUUCCUGAAAGACGCUGCCAAUGCAGCAGCCAAACAAAGAAUGGUAUGCUCCUGCCAGUCACUCAACUCUAAUUGGUAAAGUGCUGGGGUGGAGGUGGGGCAAAG
rnacentral:lncRNA from 1 species